CCCUCAUUGUGGUCGCUCUGGUAAGUGUAGUUAUAUGUGUAUCAAUUCACGAUAUGAUUUAAAUGAAGUUUAUUCACAAUAUGCGCUUUUGUACAACAUAGGUGGCUGCAAGUUAGUCAGUUAAAUUUUCCCGCCUGGUCUUAUUGUUGCCUCAGGUCAGACGUCGCCUAUAUUUUCUGCCUGACAGUGUAAGUUAAUCUCUCCGGUAGGUGUUGUUCUCUAUGUAAUAUUUACCAUAAGAGUUGAAAUAUGUUUGUUCAAAACAUGUGCUUUUGUACGCCGUUUUAGAGUUGCCUCAGGCGGCACCCAGUUAACGUUGGUCUGUCAUUGUUAUCACUCCGGUAAGCGGUGGUUCUUUGUGUAUCAAUUUAAGCCAUGAUUUAAAUGAAAUUUUUUCACAAUAUGCCCAUCUUUACAACGGUGUAGGUGGCUGCAAGUUAGUCAUUUCAGUUUUCCUGCUUCGUCUUCGAGUUGCCUGAGAAUGGUCAGACGAGCGCGAGGUUUUUUUUUUCUUGACAGUACAAUCGCUCUGGCAGCUGCUUAGGUGGCUCCAAACUGGUCAGUUCAACCUCUCCUGCUUCGUCUUCGAGAAGUCUUUAAGUCAUUCGGUGGCUUUUUUUUCCCGACAGUAUCAUGACUUAGGGUGAUGCAGUGCAAGAUAUCCAGAUUUGAACACCCUGCCCAGGAGGUCCUUUUGAAACAUGACCAAUUGUGCCACUACCAGGGAAGAUACUGCCAUCUACCCUGCCUCUACACAGAUUGCAUCUGCUCCUUUAAAACCACUGGUUGAAGUCUCACCUUUUAAGAUCACACAAGUGCUUCUCUUCACGUGAGAGUCACUUAACAUUGAAUGGUGAAU